rnacentral:misc_RNA from 1 species
AAGUCAUAACAAGGUUUCCGUAGGUGAACCUGCGGGAGGAUCAUUAAUAAUGCUCUCUGGCUUCGGUCAGCUGAGUUCGAUGAGUGCCUUCUCUUCGGAGUUGGCCAUCCACACACACCGUGAACUGUGGCUUCGGCCAUCACAAACUGUUAGUAAUAUGAAUGAUAAUAUCAAAUAAACUUAAAAAC